GAUGAACGCUAGCUACAGGCUUAACACAUGCAAGUCGAGGGGUAGCACGGAGGAAGCUUGCUUCCUUGGGUGACGACCGGCGCACGGGUGAGUAACGCGUAUCCGACCUACCCAUAACACGGGCACAGCCGCUCGAAAGAGUGAUUGAUUCCCGAUAUGUCAUAUAAGUAGAUUAUAUGAUGAAAGAUUUAUCGGUUAUGGAUGGGGAUGCGUAAGAUUAGGUAGUAGGCGGGGUAACGGCCCACCUAGCCGACGAUCUUUAGGGGUUCUGAGAGGAAGGUCCCCCCACACUGGUACUGAGACACGGACCAGACUCCUACGGGAGGCAGCAGUGAGGAAUAUUGGUCAAUGGGCGGAAGCCUGAACCAGCCAAGUAGCGUGAAGGAUUACAGCCCUACGGGUUUUAAACUCUUUUAUAUAAGAGUAAUGUGGUCUACGUGUAGAUUAUUGCAAGUAUUAUAUGAAUAAGCAUCGGCUAACUCCGUGCCAGCAGCCGCG
rnacentral:rRNA from 1 species